rnacentral:rRNA from 1 species
UACGUAGGGUGCAAGCGUUGUCCGGAAUUAUUGGGCGUAAAGAGCUCGUAGGCGGUCUGUCGCGUCUGCUGUGAAAACUCGGGGCUUAACCCCGGGCCUGCAGUGGGUACGGGCAGACUAGAGUGCGGUAGGGGAGACUGGAAUUCCUGGUGUAGCGGUGAAAUGCGCAGAUAUCAGGAAGAACACCAAUGGCGAAAGCAGCUCUCUGGGACGGUACUGACGCUGAGACGCGAAAGCGUGGGGAGCGAACAGG